CAAACCCCAACAUUUAUACUAAUAAUAAUUAUGAAAAACUUCGAAUUACCCCUCUUGUGGUUUUAUUUUUUUUCACUUUAGUACCAUACGGUUUAAAGUGUAUCAAGUUAGUACCCUGUGAUUUCGCACUUUCUCACUUUAAUACCAUGUGAUUUAAAUGUAUCAAGUUAGUACCUUGUUGUUUUGCACUUUCUCACUUUAGUAUCCUGUGGUUUAAUAUUUAAUUAAGAGAAAAAUAAAAUCACAAGAUACUAACUUGAUACAAAAAUAAAACCACAGAGUACUAACUUGAUACACUUUAAAUCACAGGGUACUAAAGUAAGAAAGUGCGAAACCACGGAGUACUAACUUGAUACACUUUAAACCACAGGGCACUAAAAUAAAAAAAUGUGAAACCACAAGGAAGGUUUUUGACGUUUUCCCUAAUAAAUUG
rnacentral:lncRNA from 1 species